UUAAUACUCCAUCCGUCCAAAAAUACUUGUCGGAAAUAUGAGUGUACCUAGACGUAUUUUAGGUCUAGAUACACCCAUUUUUAUCCAUUUCUCCGACAAGUAUUUUCGGACAAAGGAAUAUUAU
rfam:Triticum aestivum genome assembly, contig: Triticum_aestivum_CS42_TGACv1_scaffold_408498_5BL